rnacentral:tRNA from 1 species
CCGCCCUUAGCUCAGUUGGUUAGAGCACAGAGCUUAUACCUCUGCGGUCCUUGGUUCAAAUCCAAGAGGGCGGA